GUAUUCAAUUCUAACUUUGAUUGUCUACAUGUACAGUAGUACACCCCACCAAUAUCAUUGUUAUGCUUAUUAUACCUGUCUUGUAUUUGUUAGGAUCAAAUGACUACAUUAUCAAGUGGUUAUGAAGGACAGUUGAGUGCUAUGUCUGAUCAUUUGUGUGAGCUAAGGGACAAACUGGCUGAGACUGAAGAAGGAUUUGAAAAUCCAAAGAAAGGAAGGAGAAAAAUGAAAUAGAGAACACAGACAACAGCUGCUUCAAUAAUUAUUAUUUACUAUUAUUGACAUAAAAAUAUUAAUGCUGCUUGUAACAUACCCACACCAUUUUAUUAUGCCCAUACUAUAACCAUGAA